rnacentral:tRNA from 1 species
ACUCGUUUGGUGGAAUUGGUAGACACGACAGAUUCAAAAUCUGUUGCUAAA